UAAAACGACUCUCGGCAACGGAUAUCUCGGCUCUCGCAUCGAUGAAGAACGUAGCGAAAUGCGAUACUUGGUGUGAAUUGCAGAAUCCCGCGAACCAUCGAGUCUUUGAACGCAAGUUGCGCCCGAAGCCAUUAGGUCGAGGGCACGUCUGCCUGGGCGUCUCAC
rnacentral:rRNA from 2 species